GGGGGCCCGCAAGCGGUGGAGCAUGUGGUUUAAUUCGACGCAACGCGAAGAACCUUACCUGGGCUCGAAAUGGUGUGGACCGGAGUGGAAACAUUCCUUUCUCGCAAGAGACCGCAUUAUAGGUGCUGCAUGGCUGUCGUCAGCUCGUGUCGUGAGAUGUUGGGUUAAGUCCCGCAACGAGCGCAACCCUUACUUCCAGUUGCCAUCAUUCAGUUGGGCACUCUGGCAGAACCGCCUCGGAUAACGGGGAGGAAGGUGGGGAUGACGUCAAGUCCUCAUGGCCUUUAUGUCCAGGGCUACACACGUGCUACAAUGGCCGGUACAAACCGUCGCAAACCCGUGAGGGGGAGCUAAUCGGAAAAAGCCGGCCUCAGUUCGGAUCGCAGUCUGCAACUCGACUGCGUGAAGCUGGAAUCGCUAGUAAUCGCGGAUCAGAACGCCGCGGUGAAUACGUUCCCGGGCCUUGUACACACC
rnacentral:rRNA from 1 species